GAAUAUUUUGAUUUUAUUUUUCAAUUUAGGAUUUGGAAGGAUCAAUUCUGUAGUUGCCGGAGCAGCAUACCGGAGAGACGACUUCCAGCUAUCGAACACGGAGUAUCUUGUUAAGAAGAGCAAGUGCUGUUCUGUUGCUAGUGUACAGUCCAUUCAUCAUUCAAAGCUGCGGGAUUGUUCUAGUUUCUGCUUAGGUACAUGGAAGAUAUGACACCGAAGACUAAAUGAUUUAAACCCUCUAAUUUCUUUUGCAAUAUGGAGAAAGGAUCAUCUCUGCUAUAG